AUUGAACGCUGGCGGCAUGCCUUACACAUGCAAGUCGAACGGUAACGGGCCUUCGGGUGCCGACGAGUGGCGAACGGGUGAGUAAUGCAUCGGAACGUACCUUUCAGUGGGGGAUAACGUAGCGAAAGUUACGCUAAUACCGCAUAUUCUGUGCGCAGGAAAGCAGGGGAUCGCAAGACCUUGCGCUGAUUGAGCGGCCGAUGUCAGAUUAGCUAGUUGGUGAGGUAAAGGCUCACCAAGGCGACGAUCUGUAGCGGGUCUGAGAGGAUGAUCCGCCACACUGGAACUGAGACACGGUCCAGACUCCUACGGGAGGCAGCAGUGGGGAAUUUUGGACAAUGGGGGCAACCCUGAUUCAGCCAUGCCGCGUGAGUGAAGAAGGCCUUCGGGUUGUAAAGCUCUUUCGGCCGGGAAGAAAUCGCAUGGGUUAAUACCCUGUGCGGAUGACGGUACCGGCAUAAGAAGCACCGGCUAACUACGUGCCAGCAGCCGCCGUAAGAC
rnacentral:rRNA from 1 species